CCCUGCGCGCUCCCGCCAGCCGCCACCACCUCCAGCCCUCCCUCCCGCCCCGCUCCUGUCGCUUUUCGCUGUCGCCCUGGCUCUCCCAGAGCCGGCUCCCUUCUCCCUGGCACCGGAGGGAAAACCGCUCGCUGGGAAGCAAGCCUGACUCAUCCCGGCCGGGCCCCAGCACAUGCCAACAAGAGCAGCCUCAUCCUGAUGCCCCACUCCCGCGGAAGGAGGGCAGUGCUGUUCUGGAAUAGGAACGCGGGUCACAAGAGAUUUUUGGCAAGGCAGACCGGCCACUCCAGGCAAUGUUUAUGUGGCACUGCAGACUCAGGGCUUUCUAUCUGCCCAUAACCCUUUAUCCAGCAAAGGACUUCUGCACCUCCCAUGGCUGGGACUGAUGAGUCACUAAAACAAAAAGAUGUCUUGCUAUUCACUGGUGAGUUUGAGCUGCCUUGUGUCUUGACAUGACCUUCACAAAGAAAGGUCUCUGCAGGGGUACCAGGCUUCCAAGAGGAUACAGAGCCUUUUACUCCUAGUUGCUGGGUUAAAUCUAACCCAGGCUGCUUAAGUCAGAGAGGUGUUUUUGGUGAAAUGAAUUUGGUGGCUUUCAGCCCCAUUCAUUGCUUCAGCUGAGCUCUUCACAGCAAUCACCCUUGGCAAUGCGCUGGUAAGCUUGCUGAAGCUCUGUGCAGAGGGGCCAAGGACUGACUGAGCCCUGCAGACUGGAUGCCUUUCUCCCUGUUAAAGGUGCACUGCUUUUUUGUGUCUGUUUUGGAGAUUGAGAGCUUCAGAGUUUGGAGCUCUCAGUCUAGCAUUUUUGUAAGCACAAUGUUCACAUUAAGAUCUUUACUAAAGAGGUUCGUCCAAACCCUGUGCCAAGCAGAGAAUAUUCUGCACCACUUCGUGAAGGGAUGCUGCCAGAUUUAUCUUGUAAACCUCUUCUGGUCCACCAUGGAGCACCUGAUCUUCUGCUCCUCUCUGCAACUGAAGGAGACAGGAUACUUUUCUGUGAAUUGAUUUGCACUUGUUUGGUCCCCUGCACCCCAGAGUCAUAUUGUGUGAAUCCCUGGAGCACUGGGUGCCACUCUCCCUUCACUGUCAUCCUCACUGAAAGCUGUGAAACAUCCCUCAACCCCCUUUCCCUGCAUGUCUCUGAGAAGGGACACUGAGCCAUUUAGUGAAGUGGACCAGUCACACUGCCUGUGUUUUCUGGACUCAAGCUGUAUAAUGUGGGUCUCGCACAAAAUCCAAUGUUUAUAUACAGUAUUUGCACUUUCUGCACACCCCUGGGGCUGAUCUGCUACCAAAGCACUGAAAGAAGAUGUGAAGCUGUGGGUACCUGGGGCAUUUGCACCUUUUCCCUCCCUGCCAGUGGAGUGCGAUGCCCAGGGUGUAAAUUAAGCCCUAGGGGAGCUCUGAACCUGUGACAGGAGGUUUUGUCAAGAGCCAGGCCUGGCUCUUGUUGAUGCAUAUCAUGGUGAUGUGUCACUGUUGUAUAUUGUGCUCCUGCCUUCACCUCUGUGGGACACUGUAAUGAGCCAUUGCUAGUCCAGCCAGCGUGAACGUACAUGGUGCUGCUCUCCUGUGCCAUCCACAGCACCCUGGUCAUAGUGAUCGCUUCUCCUCUCACCCAGAAGACACUCUUUGGAUAUGCAAGCUGUGUAGGUGAUAGAUGUCAGCUACCGGCAGGGUUCUAUGGGCCCCACUCGCACACAUCCUGGAGGAUGUCAGCCGGCCACCACGACCCUGGUGUGCAUGUGUCCAAGCAUCCCACGCUGCCACCUGCACAUGCUGAUAUCAUAUCCAGAUCCCCAGGCUGCUCCGAGGGUGCCAGCUCUGUGCCAUAGACCCCGACAGCUCCUUUGGGCAGCAGGAGUCCCUCGAUCCAGCUGUGGAAAUAGGCUUCUUCCUUCCAUCACACCUCCCAGAUGGGGUCAUGUUGCUCAGCCUCCAAGAUGAGAGUUUGGCAGCAUGCAAUAACUCUCCUUUGAAACUGUCAGCAGAGGUUUUCUCCUCGAUUCUUGAGUGGAGGAGGAGAGUGCACUGGGCUGAUUUAACUGAGUGAUGUGCUGUUGGUAAUUCUCUGAGGAUACAAUUAAUUUUUAAUUCUAAGGGCUUUGGCUCAGGAGGGAAUGGGUCAGGGCACCUUGUAAAUAGCCUAGGUCUUUCUGGGCCUUUUCAUCCACUCAGAUUGCAACAGUAUCACCAUUAUCUUUCACAGCAAAACUGGUGGGAGCUUUUUAGCUCUGUUUCAGCCAGAAGGCAAGUUAAGAGUCCCUCCAUUCAGCCAAAAGCGGAGAUCUUGAUGCAAGUGUCCUGAACUGGGGAGUCUCAUCCAGCAGGGAAAUGAAAUGAGUGGGAUGACUCCUGUGCUGAAAGUUACACUCGCUCUAGCGAGCGCAGGUGCAACCUGAAACAGGUACAUCCCAGGCAUUUUUGUGCCUUGGCGAAUCAGGCCUGUGAAAGGGAAAAACCACAGGGCUGCAUACUGCAUGGUAUCACAUACCGUCCUCAGCUGCAUCGAUCAUAUCUCCUGUCCUCCAGCACAAUAUAGCUAUAGUCUCCAAGUGUCAGCUUGGAAACCUGCUUCCCAUCAUUGCUGGUAACUAGGACUGCAAUGCAAAUGGACCCCAGCUGGAAUAAUGGGAUAGCAAUAAAAAAUCUUUGUACUAGAGAUCAGGGGCUCUGUGAGGUUGAGGACAGGCUAAAUUGUCCCUGUGCGACAAGGCUGCCUGCUGAACAGACUUAUAGUAAGGAAAUCCCUCUCAUGCAUGGGGGUCUUUCUGGUGUUUCCAGUUUGAUCUCUUGUUAGGAGCUGGUUCCCAUGGCUGGGCACCUCCCAGUCAAUCUCACCUGAAAAAAAGGUCUGGUUGCUGGUUCAGCUAGUUGCUUACAAAAUGGUUAGACUAGAUCUUCAGAAAGGACUCUCUCAACCCUACAAAUGAACCCUCCUCUGCCCCAGCAGCAUGGCUUCUCCAAGCCUGGAUAGACAUGGAUGGGCAGGAUGAAAAAGGCCAGAGUCAAAAGGUAUGUUGCAGUCAGGAUGUGUGGAGCUGGUCACCGUGGUCUCCACCAGCACAAGUUGCUCUGCCAUUUCACCUCCUCCAAACCUGCUUUCACCUGCUGAGUCAAAAGAGAAGUCGAAAAACCACCAAACUAGUAAAAAUGAAAGGCGCACCAUGCCUGCUGCUGCAGGUCUGUGCCGUGUAUGGGAGUGCCCUGCAUACAAGCUCAGGUGCCUGGCCAGCCCCGCUCUCAGUGAGCUGGCAGGCUGGGCUGCCACGGGGCUUCCCAUGGGUCUGCCGGCUCACACUGGCCCCUUGAUGCCUCAUUACUGCUCUGCAUCACUCACUGUGUACAAUCUUGCCUGUUUUCAUCUCCUCUGCACACCGGAGUCAGUAUAGAAACCUGACCAAAAAGAGGAAGACAAGUUCAGUCCCGUCCCACUUGCCUUUGCCUUUUUGUUCAGUUUUCUAUGGUGAAUCCUGGGGUUUGAGUAUCUCAAAAGGGAAACAAGGAGAGCACCAGCGCUUUUGGCACUGAGCAUUUAGCGGGGUGAACCGCUGGAGACGAUGCCAUAGGAAACAACUCUGCCAGGGUGGGGGGAGGACUGAGACGUGGUCUAGUGAAUAUCUGUUGCCUUUGACAUCCCCAGUACCUCUUCAUUCAUCUGCCUGAUACCCCAUCCUCAUCCCAAGAGCUAAUGAAGGCAUAGGCCCAAGUUUCAAGGCCUGCUGGAUAUUUUGCAAACUAUUUAUUUAGCUUCUCUG